rnacentral:rRNA from 1 species
AGGACGAACGCUGGCGGCGUGCUUAACACAUGCAAGUCGAGCGGUAAGGCCCUUUCGGGGGUACACGAGCGGCGAACGGGUGAGUAACACGUGAGCAAUCUGCCCUUCACUUCGGGAUAAGCCUCGGAAACGGGGUCUAAUACCGGAUAUGACCGCGCUACGCAUGUGGUGUGGUGGAAAGUUCUGGCGGUGGAGGAUGAGCUCGCGGCCUAUCAGCUUGUUGGUGGGUAAUGGCCUACAAGGCUUCGACGGUAGCCGGCCUGAGAGGGUGACCGGCCACGACGUGGGACUAGGAGACACGGCCCAGACUCCCGACGGGAGGCAGCGAGUGGGGAAUAGUUGGACAAAUCGGGGCGAAAGCCUAGGAUCCAGGACCAACGUCCGCGUGAGGGAUGGACGGUCCGUUCGGGUUACGUAAACCGUCUUUACGACGUCGGACCCGACGAACGACGGAG